rnacentral:rRNA from 1 species
UACGUAGGGGGCCAGCGUUGUUCGGAAUUACUGGGUGUAAAGGGUUCGUAGGCGGUGCGGCAAGUUGGGAGUGAAAUCUCUGGGCUCAACCCAGAGACGGCUUCCAAAACUGCUGUGCUUGAGUGUGGGAGAGGCUCGUGGAAUUGCAGGUGUAGCGGUGAAAUGCGUAGAUAUCUGCAGGAACACCCGUGGCGAAAGCGGCGAGCUGGACCACUACUGACGCUGAAGAACGAAGCUAGGGAGCAACAGG